UACGUAGGGGGCGAGCGUUGUCCGGAAUCAUUGGGCGUAAAGGGCGCGUAGGCAGUCUUGCAAGUCGGAUGUUAAAUUUAUCGGCUCAACCGAUAACCGCAUUCGAAACUGCUUGACUAGAGAGUGGUAGAGGUAAACGGAAUUUCCGGUGUAGCGGUGAAAUGCGUAGAUAUCGGAAAGAACACCAGUGGCGAAGGCGGUUUACUGGGCCAUUUCUGACGCUGAGGCGCGAAAGCUAGGGGAGCAAACGGGAUUAGAUACCCGAGUA
rnacentral:rRNA from 1 species